rnacentral:rRNA from 1 species
ACGCCUAAUACAUGCAAGUCGAACGAAGUAGCAAUACUUAGUGGCAGACGGGUGAGUAACAUGUAGGUAUCUUCCCUUCGGUGAGGAAUAACACGAGGAAACUUGUGCUAAUACCUCAUAAGUCUUUACGGAGAAAGCUUUAUGCGCCGAUGGAUGAGCCUGCACUUGAUUAGUUUGUUGGUAGGGUAAUGGCCUACCAAGACUAUGAUCAAUAGCUGAUUUGAGAGGAUGAUCAGCCACAUUGGGACUGAGACACGGCCCAAACUCCUACGGGAGGCAGCAGUAGGGAAUCUUGCACAAUGGGGGAAACCCUGAUGCAGCGAUGCCGCGUGAGUGAAGAAGGCCUUUGGGUUGUAAAGCUCUUUCGUCGGGGAAGAAAAUGACUGUACCCGAAUAAGAAGGUCCGGCUAACUUCGUGCCAGCAGCCGCGGUAAUACGAAGGGACCUAGCGUAGUUCGGAAUUACUGGGCUUAAAGAGUUCGUAGGUGGUUAAAAAAGUUGGUGGUGAAAUCCCAGAGCUUAACUCUGGAACUGCCAUCAAAACUUUUUAGCUAGAGUAUGAUAGAGGAAAGCAGAAUUUCUAGUGUAGAGGUGAAAUUCGUAGAUAUUAGAAAGAAUACCAAUUGCGAAGGCAGCUUUCUGGAUCAUUACUGACACUGAGGAACGAAAGCAUGGGUAGCGAAGAGGAUUAGAUACCCUCGUAGUCCAUGCCGUAAACGAUGUGUGUUAGACGUUGGAAAUUUAUUUUCUGUGUCGCAGCGAAAGCAAUAAACACACCGCCUGGGGAGUACGAC